rnacentral:rRNA from 1 species
GACGAACGCUGGCGGCGUGCUUAACACAUGCAAGUCGAACGGAAAGGCCCUGCUUUUGUGGGGUGCUCGAGUGGCGAACGGGUGAGUAACACGUGAGUAACCUGCCCUUGACUUUGGGAUAACUUCAGGAAACUGGGGCUAAUACCGGAUAGGAGCUCCUGCUGCAUGGUGGGGGUUGGAAAGUUUCGGCGGUUGGGGAUGGACUCGCGGCUUAUCAGCUUGUUGGUGGGGUAGUUGCUUACCAAGGCUUUGACGGGUAGCCGGCCUGGGAGGGUGACCGGCCACAUUGGGACUGAGAUACGGCCCAGACUCCUACGGGAGGCAGCAGUGGGGAAUAUUGCACAAUGGGCGGAAGCCUGAUGCAGCAACGCCGCGUGCGGGAUGACGGCCUUCGGUUUGUAAACCGCUUUCGCCUGUGACGAAGCGUGAGUGACGGUAAUGGGUAAAGAAGCACCGGCUAACUACGUG